rnacentral:rRNA from 1 species
AUGAAGAUAAUCGCUUGGAACUGCCGGGGGCUUGGGAACCAGCCAGUAGUUCGAGGUCUCCUGGAGCUCCAGGGGGCGGAGGAGCCUGACAUUUUGUUUUUGUCGAAUACAAAAUUGUGUGAGAAAUAAUUAGACAGUUUGAGAUGGCGGCUUGGGAUGCCAAGCAUGGUGGCAAAGGACCCGGUUGGUCGGAGUGGUGGUCUUGCUUUGUUCUGGCAAAGGGGGUUGAAUGUCGAGCUCAAGUGGAAAGAUAAGUAUUACAUCGAUGUAGAGGUGACUAAGGGUGAUGGAAGAAGGUGGACAUUGGCGGGGAUGUAUGGCAGGUUGAGAUGGGGGGAGAAGGAGAAUACAUGGAGGGCCUUGAGGACGCUACACGCUCAGUCAGACCUACCAUGGAUCUGCCUAGGGGAUUUCAACGAGAUCCUUUUUAGCAAUGAGAAGGAGGGAGGGUUGGCUCGGGCUCAGGGGUGUAUGGAUGCUUUUCGGGACACUUUGGAGAAUUGUGAUCUUGAUGGUCUUGGCUUUGUUGGAGACCCAUACACAUGGAGGAACAAUUGA